rnacentral:rRNA from 1 species
GACGAACGUUGGCGGCGUGCUUAAUACAUGCAAGUCAACUGAAGCAGUGGUAGCAAUAUCGCUGUGGAGGUGGCGCACGGGUGAGUAACACGUAGGUAAUCUGCCUUCAGGUCUGGCAUAACUCCGGGAAACCGGGGCUAAUAGCAGAUGAUGCAGCGGCUCGACAUCGAGACAGUUGUUAAAGCUAUGGCGCCUGAAGAUGAGCCUGCGUCUGAUUAGCUAGUUGGCGGGGUAACGGCCCACCAAGGCAACGAUCAGUAGCUGGUCUGAGAGGAUGAUCAGCCACACUGGAACUGAGACACGGUCCAGACUCCGACGGGAGGCAGCAGUAAGGAAUAUUGCUCAAUGGGAGAAAUCCUGAAGCAGCAACGCCGCGUGAGGGACGAAGGGCGUUUGCUUGUAAACCUCUGUAGUGAGAGAAAAAAAUCCCAAUCUUUGGGACAUGAUGGUAUCUCAAAAGUAAGCCCCGGCUAACUACGUG